UACGUGAGGCAGCAAGCGUUGUUCGGAGUUACUGGGCGUAAAGGGUGCGUAGGCGGUUGUUUAAGUUUGGUGUGAAAUCUCCCCGGCUCAACUGGGAGGGUGCGCCGAAUACUGAAUGACUCGAGUGCGGGAGAGGAGAGUGGAAUUCCUGGUGUAGCGGUGAAAUGCGUAGAUAUCAGGAGGAACACCGGUGGUGUAGACGGCUCUCUGGACCGUAACUGACGCUGAGGCACGAAAGCGUGGGUAGCAAACAGG
rnacentral:rRNA from 1 species